rnacentral:tRNA from 1 species
GCCAGCGUAGUGUAGUGGUUUGAACACUGGACUACAACUCUGGAGAACAGAGUUCAAAUCCCUGCUUGGCU